CCAGAGAGUCAACAGUGACUGAGAGACUCAAUCUUCCCUCAUCUGAUCCAGGCCUGGUCCAAACCAGCUUUGAGUGACUGCUGGACAUCACCACUUUGAGCGCUUCUCCCCUGACCCCACCUCAGGCUGCUGGAGCCACAGAAAAAGUUUGAGAGUCCAGGAGGAGAAGGAGAUCUUCAGUUGGCUUGGAGACCUUGUUCUCUGGGGUAGGAGACCAUUGCCGCUCUGAACAGCAGCAGUCACCUCACAGAAGGCUUGAGGCACAGCAUUUAGACCAUUCGCAGCAAGCUUGUCCUCCAUGCCUGCCUGCCUGUCCUGGCUGGUGACAUCUAGCUGCUCUGCUUCUCAAAGGGCUCCCCCUGCCUCUGGGAGACUUGGAAAUUGUUGCAGAUUCAGUCUGUUCGAGUUGUCUGGGAUUUCUGUUGUGAUUCAGGACAGCAGAGCUGUCUCUGGGUUGCCCUUCUAAAAAGGAAUUUGGAGCCUCAGAGAUCAGUGUAACUAACACAUUUUAUGGUCAGGUAUGAAUGGUCAAUAAGAAGAAAGCAUUUCUUUGAGCUCUGCGUAUUUAGUAUCUAUUUUAAUUGUGUGUAUAAAGGGGUGGGAAGUGAGAAGGAAGAAGCAACAAAUAAUUUUCCCCCUACUAACUGGGGUAGCAUCUCACAAGCUGUGGAGAGGGCCUGAGAAUGGAUUGAACAGGCCAUUUAAAGCCACAUGGAGUUGGGAAUAAA